rnacentral:tRNA from 1 species
GCCCGGCUGGCUCAGUAGAAAGAGCACGUGACUCUUGAUCUUGGGGUUGUGAGUUCGAGCCCCACUUUGGGUG